rnacentral:tRNA from 1 species
GUGGGUAUAGCUCAGUGGUAGAGCACGUGCUUAGCAUACACCAGGUAUUGGGUUUAACCCCCAGUAUCACCA